AGUGAACGCUGGCGGUAGGCCUAACACAUGCAAGUCGAACGGCAGCACAGUAAGAGCUUGCUCUUACGGGUGGCGAGUGGCGGACGGGUGAGGAAUACAUCGGAAUCUACUUUUUCGUGGGGGAUAACGUAGGGAAACUUACGCUAAUACCGCAUACGACCUACGGGUGAAAGCAGGGGAGCUUCGGACCUUGCGCGAUUGAAUGAGCCGAUGUCGGAUUAGCUAGUUGGCGGGGUAAAGGCCCACCAAGGCGACGAUCCGUAGCUGGUCUGAGAGGAUGAUCAGCCACACUGGAACUGAGACACGGUCCAGACUCCUACGGGAGGCAGCAGUGGGGAAUAUUGGACAAUGGGCGCAAGCCUGAUCCAGCCAUACCGCGUGGGUGAAGAAGGCCUUCGGGUUGUAAAGCCCUUUUGUUGGGAAAGAACAGCAGCAGGUUAAUCCCCCGCUGUUCUGGCGGUACCCAAAGAAUAAGCCCCGGCUAACUUCGUG
rnacentral:rRNA from 1 species